rnacentral:tRNA from 1 species
GCCCUCGUAGCUCAGUUGGAUAGAGCAUCUGUCUUCUAAACAGAGGGUCGUUGGUUCGAAUCCAACCGGGGGUG